rnacentral:lncRNA from 1 species
AACCAAGUCAAAGAGGCCUCUUACCAGCGGAAUGACCUUCUCCUCUUCCCUGCAUCUCUUCUUUAACCUCUGGUAACAAGUCUCAGGAUUGGUCCGAAGGUAAACUGAGGUUAAAAGAAUACGUGGCUCUCAGGACUCUGCUCAUGGCUUGGAAGCAAAGCAGGCACACAGGCAAAGGCGGGAGGAAGGUCUGCACAGCUCGAGCAGGAAGCAGGGAGGGCCAGCUCUUGGCUUGACCACUGACCCUCCGCCUCGACUUUCAUUCUCUUUCAGUGUCAGCGGCCCCGUGGGGUCGUUUUGAGGCUGAAUGGGAUUCUGUUCAUAGACAGAGCUCAAAACAGGCCUCACACCCAGCAGGUCUCAGUGAAUGUUCAGGCUCUGUCCUUCCUGUUCCUUUGCAAACUAGAAAAACCCAUCAGAUCACAGUGGAUUUGGGUCUGAAAGUAGCUGAGCCAGGGAGGGAAGUUUAAAGAACAAAGGCCAGGGUUCUUCUCCAUGAGAGACCAGAAGUCCCGAAUUCUGUCUGCCCUCAGGGAGAAAGCUGAACUCCCAUGGGGAAGGAACUGCCAAGGGCAAGUGCCUCACCCACUGCCCCCAAGGGUUGGGGCCCAGCCAAGCACAUCCUCAAGGGACCCAGGAGAGAGACAAGAGAGGGAGGUGGGAGGGGU